GCUCUUAUGGCGCAAUUGGCUAGCGCGGUUCGGCUGUUAACCGAGAGGUUGGUGGUUCAAGCCCACCUAGGAGCG